UGCAACGGCCAUACCACGUUGAAAAUGCCAGUUCUCGUCCGAUCACUGAAGCCAAGCAACGUCGGGCGCGGUUAGUACUUGGAUGGGUGACCGCUUGGGAACACCGCGUGUCGUUGUUU
rnacentral:rRNA from 1 species